rnacentral:rRNA from 1 species
UACGUAGGGGGCAAGCGUUGUCCGGAAUCAUUGGGCGUAAAGAGCUCGUAGGCGGUUUGUCACGUCGGAUGUGAAACCCUGAGGCUCAACCUCAGGCCUGCAUUCGAUACGGGCAGACUAGAAUUCGGCAGGGGAGACUGGAAUUCCUGGUGUAGCGGUGAAAUGCGCAGAUAUCAGGAGGAACACCGGUGGCGAAGGCGGGUCUCUGGGCCGAUAUUGACGCUGAGGAGCGAAAGCGUGGGGAGCAAACAGG